rnacentral:lncRNA from 1 species
UAAAAAUGUAACGUUAGGUGUACCUAGAUUAAAAGAGUUAAUUAAUAUUGUAAAGAAUGUAAAAACACCUAGUACUACAAUUUAUUUAGAUAGUUCUGUUUCAAAUGACCAACAAAAAGCUAAAGAUAUUUUAACAAAAUUAGAAUAUACAACAUUACGUCAGUUAACAACACAAGCACAAAUUAUAUAUGAUCCUAAUACAACUAGUACAGUUUUAGAAGAAGAUAAACAGUGGGUAAAUGAAUUUUAUGAAUUCCCAGAUGAAGAUGAUACACAAUAUACUUUAGGAGAAUGGGUGUUAAGAAUACAGUUAACUAAUAUACGUGUUAAUGAAAAAAAAUUAACUAUGAAAGAAAUUGUUUAUAUUAUUUAUUCUGUAUUUACAAGUGACGAAUUGGAUAUAAUAUAUACAGAUGAUAACUCAGAAGAUUUGAUUUUAAGAAUACGUGUGAAGUACCUGAACGGUGAAUACAACUUUUUGAACGAUCAUGAUGAUGACGAUGUGGGAGGUAUGGUAGGUAUUGGUUCGGGUGUUGGUUCAGGUAUUGGUUCGGGUGUUGGUUCGGGUGUUGGUUCGGGUGUAUCUAAUACUAUUAAUGAUAAUGAUGAAUACGAAUUUUAUAAACGAGAAAAAAAUGAUGAAUUUGAAGAGGAAAAAUCAGUUUUUGAAAAGGACAAUGUUGGUAGUGAUAUUGAUGAAAAUCACGACAGUAACGAUAAUUAUGAUAUAAAUACGAAUACACAAAAAAUAAUAAAAAAAAAAGUUACAUUUAAUACUAUUUCUAAUAAUGGAAAUGAAAAGGAUGAAGACCCAUUUAGUGAAGUUAACGAUUUAUUUGAAAAGAGUGACGACGAUACGAAUGACAACGCAAAUGACAAUACAAAUGACGAUUCUAAUGAAUUGUUUGGUGAUGAUAAUGUGAGUACAAUAAAAAAUAAAAAAAAUAAAAAAAAAGAAAACGAACUUGGUGUAAAUAAUAAUAGUAUUGUUUUGUUUUUUUUUAGUAUUGUUAUUACAAAUAAUAUUAGUGAUAAUAUUAAUGGUCAUAACAAUGUAGAAACGGUUAUAAAAGAUGGUAGUAAUCGUAGUAGUAGUAGUAGUAGUAGUAGUACCACAUAUGCAAACAGUUUAUAUAAAACACAUGAAACAGUUAAUAAAGAUAAAUACAAAGAUGAUAGUAAGAACAACGGGUUGUUAACAGAUAAAACUGUGGAUAUAAAUAAACAACUAUUUUCAAACUCGGAAAUAACUGAUGAUACGUAUGGGUAUAUUAAAAAUAAUGUUUCUGAGAAUAAUGUUUAUGUUAAUAAUAUGGUGGACGACACACAUAGUGAUGUUAAUGAGAGUGAUAAUAGCAAUGGUUC